CGGAUGUAGCCAAGUGGAUCAAGGCAGUGGUUUUGUGAAUCAC
rnacentral:tRNA from 1 species